CCUACGGGAGGCAGCAGUGGGGAAUUUUGGACAAUGGGCGCAAGCCUGAUCCAGCCAUGCCGCGUGAGUGAAGAAGGCCUUCGGGUUGUAAAGCUCAAACAAGUAGAAAACGGUACUCACAGAAGAAGCACCGGCUAACUACGUGCCAGCAGCCGCGGUAAUACGUAGGGUGCAGGCGUUAAUCGGAAUUACUGGGCGUAAAGCGUGCGCAGGCGGUUUGCUAAGACAGGUGUGAAAUCCCCGAGCUUAACUUGGGAAUUGCGCUUGUAACUGGCAAGCUAGAGUGUGGCAGAGGGGGGUGGAAUUCCACGUGUAGCAGUGAAAUGCGUAGAUAUGUGGAGGAACACCGAUGGCGAAGGCAGCCCCCUGGGUAAACUGACGCUCAUGCACGAAAGCGUGGGGAGCAAACAGGAUUAGAUACCCUUGUAGUC
rnacentral:rRNA from 1 species